rnacentral:hammerhead_ribozyme from 1 species
ACGCAGCUGACGAGUCCCGAAUAGGACGAAACACGCGUCUUAGAU